UCAAGCUUUUUUGAGUGUAACAAAUAACAAAUUCAAAAACUAAAUUUAAAUAAUGGACAAAACACAAAUAUUAUACACAUCGUACAUAUUUUAGAGAAACAUUUGCUGACCAUGAAACAAUAAAUCUUGCCAAAAAAUAUCUUCUAAAAAAUUAUGAGUGUCACACAUUUGAAUUAAACUGAUACCCUUUUGAGAGUUGUUUUGAUAAGAAUGAAAAAUGUUGCAAACGCUCGUAGCAGUUUAUUAACUGCGUAAAAACCCCACAGGAACUAACCAACCAUCGAUCAUUGUUCGUGUGCCUUUUUACCCAGUUGGAGUGGAAGAAAAAAAAAAAAAAAAACAACAGAACCAAAAAUAAAGAUCACGAGCCAAACUUGGUCUCGCUUAAAUCAGGUUUAAGCAAGUGUAUCAUCGUCAACUUGUGCACCGAAGUGACGCAAACGCACUAAAGCAACACCAAGCUAAACAUAAGAGACACCUUUCCAAUGAAUUACGGCUUUAAGCCAUUAUCCAAUCCCAACCAAGACAUCCUGUUUGCCAACCAGUGAAAACAACAUUUUUGUAAAAGAUUUCGCAUUUCAAUUGUUGCUUUUUCUGUUAAAUGUCGGGUUGUGUUAAAAAUUUGAUAAAUUAACCUGUAUUUUGGGAUGACACCAGUAUCUGGAAGAGAUUGCGAUAUUUAGUGCUAAAAAAUUCUGUUUUGCUUUUUGUAUAUAAAAAGAUAUACUGCCAUAUAAUAACUAACUGCAAAUAUUUUUUUAAAAUUUAUUUAAAUAACUUGUAUCUGAUUCGGACUGUACAAUAUUAAAUAUUUAAAAUUGUGUAGAAUAUGUAUAUUUUUAUAAAGAAAGAAACCAAUUUUUUAAGUCAAUUUGGUUAAUAAA